CCAACCUCUGACAAGUGGCUGCCCCGUCACGCAGCCCUUCUUGCGGGCCUCCGUCAGACCCCCGUCGCAGGGACACUCUCGCCCGGGCAGAACAACUGGCACCUUGGCUGUGAAUUCUUGGUGAGUCAUCAGCAAACAGGCACCCAGAGUGAAACUGCGCUCAGCUGUUAGUUGCUAUUUACUUCUUGUCAGCAGGGGAGAGAAGUAAGGAGAGUUAAUUGGAGUGUGCAAGUGCCUGGCUCUGGAGAAAAUAUGGUCAGUCCCUUUUUAGUUCUUCAGUCUAUUUUUGUUUGAGCAUCAGAGAAAGAUACUUAAUAAAUGCUUUUCCAUAGUCAAAUGGGAUAAAAAUU